GUGAAAAUAGUCAGUUGGGGGGCGUUAGACUGAAGAUCUAAAGGCCCCCUGGUUCAAUCCCGGGGGGCAUUUCCUACA